rnacentral:rRNA from 1 species
UACGGAGGGUGCAAGCGUUAUCCGGAUUCACUGGGUUUAAAGGGUGCGUAGGAGGACUGGUAAGUCAGUGGUGAAAUCCCCGAGCUUAACUUGGGAACUGCCGUUGAUACUAUCAGUCUUGAAUACCGUGGAGGUGAGCGGAAUAUGUCGUGUAGCGGUGAAAUGCUUAGAUAUGACAUAGAACACCAAUUGCGAAGGCAGCUCGCUACACGAAUAUUGACUCUGAGGCACGAAAGCGUGGGGAUCAAACAGG